UUUCUGCCCAAAUGGACCUUCCCAAGCUCACCUCCUGUCCCAUCCCCUGCAUGCAGAAGCUAUCAGGGACAAAGGCGUCUCAUUCCCAAGUGCUUGUCAACUAUUACCAGAUCAAGGUGUGAAACUCCUGGCUCCUCCAGUACCGCGUCUGCGUGGAUACUGCCAUGCUUCCUGACAUGAUGAUAAUGGACUAAACCUCUAAACUGUACUCCAGCCUCAAUGAAACGCUCGCCUUUAUAAGAAUUGCCCUGGUCAUUUAUCUCUUCAUAGCAAUAAAACCCUAACUAGGACACUGUGCAAGCUGUGGAGAAGCAAGCCAGUCAGGGGCAUUUCUCCAGGAUAGGUGCUUCACUUCCUCCUUGAGUUCCUGCUCUGACUCUUCUCAGUGACGGACUUUAAUCUGUGAGGACAACUAGGGAGGUAGCACAGUGCGGAGGAAAAUAGCGUACACCUGACAUGACAUGAAAUCUGAAAAUUUCCCAAGGAACAAGAACCAGAAGCCAGAGCACACAGAACAGCAAGAGGAACCUGGACACAAUCACAAGCGAAGAAGGAGGAACCAUGCCACUAAGAGCGUGGCAGCUGAUCUUUUCCAAAGGGAGAACCACAGAUCUGAUGGGAGCUACGGGGAUUAACCUUGGAGCAUGGUGGCUUCAGCCAGAACAAUACUGCAGAAAAUCCAAGGAGUAACUUGGGCCCCAGAAUCUCAUCCCCUUGUGAAGGUCAAACUGUGUGUAUGUGUGUGUGUGUUGUAUAUCUUCCCACACAUGAGAACACAUAAGAUACACUAAAGAAAGUAUUUUGAUCAUUUGGAAAUUCAAAAAGAAGAACUUUUUUUUUUUUUUAAAAAGGUGUCUCUUGAUUCUUUUGCCUGCUGGUAGGACCCUUCUCCUCCGACUGGGUUGCCUUGUCCAACCUUCAUGUGAUGGUGUGUUCCUGGUCUUAUUGUAGCUUGUUAUGCCAUGUUUGGUUGAUGUCCCUAGGAGGU